rnacentral:lncRNA from 1 species
CUCUGUCUGACUUUGUAUAUGUGGGAUGGGCUUAUACAGCACCCUGAGCUUUCCAGGGCCUAGUUUCUAACAAAAGACCUUUCCACCAGUGUGAAGCAGAUGAUCUUUCUGCAGAGACUCUCAUGGGUGCUAGUACAAGGAGGGAGCUGAGAUCAACAUCUACUGCAGAGUGACAGAAAGCUGUGCCUCCAGUGGACUUUACCUGCAUUUUGUCCUGCCAUCUCUGCUAUGCAGAAAAUCCUGGCCACACCUGAGCCUAGGUCCAUGCGAUGGUCAGAUCCUGGAGGUGCUGAGAACUACAGGAGAGCACCACCACGCUGCUUAUGUGGUGCUGGGAAUUGAAGCCAGGACUCCCUGCAUGCCAGUCAUGUGCUGAUCUGCAGUCUACAAUCUUCACUAAGGCCCAGUCCUUUCUCAGAAUUCUACAUGAG